rnacentral:misc_RNA from 1 species
AACUGCUUCAAAGAAACUCAGAGAAUAGCAAAGGAGCUAAGGAGCAGUUUUUCUAAUGAUUUUGAUAAAAUGGCAGAGCUUCGUCGUAUAGAACAGGUAGCUGAACAUAACAGUGUUGCGCUAAGUCUUAUUUCCCGGCUAGGUGCUGUUGACGCGUCACUGAAGGUUCAAUUCGAGUUCAGCCACCAUCCUUUCUUUGCCAGUGUUGUGGUAAAGAGAUCUUGAAGAU